GUACACGCUGUGACUAGCAUAUCAAUAAGCGGAGGAAAAGAAACUAACAAGGAUUCCCUUAGUAACGGCGAGUGAAGCGGGAAGAGCUCAAAUUUGAAAUCUUCAAGGUUUUACCUUGACGAAUUGUAGUUUAAAGAAGUGUUUUCUGCUGAAGUUUUGGUAAAAGUUCUUUGGAAUAGGACAUCAUAGAGGGAGAAUCCCGUAUUUGACCAUUAUUUUCAGCUUUGUGAUACACUUUCAAAGAGUCGGAUUGUUUGGGAAUGCAGUCCAAAAUGGGUGGUAAAUUUCAUCUAAAGCUAAAUAUUGGCGAGAGACCGAUAGCGAACAGGUACCGUGAGGGAAAGAUGAAAAGAACUUUGAAAAGAGAGUUAAAUAGUGCGUGAAAUUGUCAAAAGGGAAGCGUUUAACACCAGUGUUGUUUUCUGAAAAUCAACCUCUGUUAGCUUUAUGCAUGUUUGUUUAGACCUAAUCAGCUAUCUUUCGUGUUCUAUUGUUUGCAGUGGUGCACUUUUCAGUUUACAGGUCAACAUCAGUUUUUCUUACCGUAAAAAAGUUAAAGAAAGGUAGCUCAUGGCUCCGGUCGUGAGUGUUAUAGUCUUUUUCCUAUGCGGUAGGAGAGACUGAGGUCUGCAGUGUAGGCUAUUUGGCUAGAUACUCAGGUGCUAUGUGAUACCAUUUCAUAAACAACUUGUUGAUUAAGUUUUGUCUAUUAGCAUUACUCGCUUAUGUUACUUAUCAUACCUACGCUUAGGAUGUUGAGUAGCGACAUACGCAC
rnacentral:rRNA from 1 species